AAGAAAUAAAACAAAGAGAACGAUAUAGAAAUUGUCAAAAGAAGAGGAAGCUAAAGACCCCAUGUUAGCAAUAUUAUGAGCUUCCUCAAAAUAAUAAAACCAUGAUAACGAAAUAAACAUAGAAUAAUCUCGUACCUAAAAGAAAAAGAACGAUCCGGAAGCUGGUCGAAGAGGGAUUAAAGAGACGCGUGGAAAGCGAUAUUGGUUGUGCCGACAUUGGCUAACAAGGAUCUCGAGACACGACUUCCGGGUGUAGGAAAAGCAAGGUGCGAACGUGAGGAAAGAAGAGGCGGCGGAACGCGUCUCAUAAAUACGCGACGAUAACUGUCAAAAGGAAACAGUGUAAUAGGCGAAUCGACGAACGACGACUGUCCGGAUUUACAGCCGGUGACGCGAGCCAAGACGAUACUAUCCUCGUUGCCCCGGGGCUUCGACAAUUACGAUUUUUUUUAUUUUCGUGUCCGGCACUGGGAAGGCCGGUAUUUUCGUCGGACUUGGAUUACCGUCCGAAAAUAACGAGCACCGCGUGCACACAGACAUCUCACCGACCGUUUGUAAUUGGCCUCUCACCGUAGCUUACGAUGGAUCAUUCGUUUAACCCUUUAACACUUUGACUGUCACAGUGGCAACCAGCGACCUACGUUUUAUUCAAUUUCUUAUGACGAUCGAAGUCAGAUAAAUUUCACGAGCCAUAGAAAAUGUUGGACAAUGCGAAUGACUUAGCUAACGUGGUCGGAGAAAAAUACAGUACGUAGAUAUAAUAUAAUAUUUUGCAAUAACAAUAGCGUUAUGGUGCGGUGCGUUUGAACGUGUUGCGGCUCCGGCAAAAUACAUCAAAUUCGAGUCAACGCGUCAAGGAUUGUAAUGUAAGCGGAUUUACGCGACUGAUGGAACCUUAACUCGAAUAAUGAAUUUCUUUAAGCAGUUGCAUACGAAAAUGAGAGAAUAUAAUAAUUCAGAGGGAAAAUAAUGCAAUUUGUUUUUUGUUAGCGUAAUAUCGUUGCAUUGUAUUGCAGCGUCAAUUUUGAUUAUUUCUCUUUAGAGAUUUUGGAUAAAUAUGGAGCAAAAUACUAAUGUGCAAAGCUCCGAUUCGGAAGCUAUGGAUUUGUCACAAAAAUUGCAAGAGGAAUGUAAAAUGACGCUUCUUAUUGAGGAUACAAUUGUUAUCUAUUUGCUAUCAAAAUUUAUUCUAAUGUAAAAGGUAUGAAAGCGGUUGGAAGUUAACGAAUUCGAAAGAUGGAUCAAUAGAGUCAUAUUAGGAGCUAAACUGUACUUUAUAAAAUUGGCAACAACUCUAAUGUUUUAAUCCUAAGAAGAAGGUAUUUUACAAAUUGCACAAUUUACAAUUACUCGUCGUGCAAAAAGGAUAUUUUCACUGUGAACAUUGUUUCAAUUAUACGCACAUUUUUCUGACUGUUCGAUAAUAUCGAAAUGCAGGAACCUCUCAGAGGAGAAAUUGAAGACUCGGUAAAUCGAGAAGCAAAGAAAACGAUCUUACAAAAACAAUUUUUUAAAUAUAUCUUGAUAAUAUUCGUUCGUUCAUGAAAGCAACUCAUUUGUUUUUGAGAAUUUAUCGUGGACGUUAAUCGUGUAUUUAUCUGAUGAAAUUGAAGAAUUGAUAAGAAAACGAAAUUAGGCAAGUUUAGCUUCCAAGAGGCUUACACAGCACUGACGUAACUUCAACGAAAAACCAUGAAACAUAACUAACCAGUUUGUGAGGCGAGAAAUGUGCAAUUGAAUUAAUUGCAACUAAUGGGAAUUUUAUUAGCCGUUGAUUUUGAAUGAAAUUUAUCACGUGUUAAGGAAAAAGAAAGAAAAUUCAACGCGCGAAUAUACAUUGUAAAUCAUACAGGCUAUGAUACACGAAAUGGUAUAAUUAGUAGAAUAAUUGGUAAAAUGGGAUAGGUAUAAUUAAAGUGCAUAUGAAGAAUAAAUUUUACGAGCCGAUGAUUUUGAAUAGAAUUUAUUGUCGGUGAAAGGAAAGGAGAGAAAAAUCGAUGUGUAAAUAUAGAUAGAGUUCUCCAAAUUCCACGGUUGAUGUUGGGUUCACGAGGCUGGACCGGAAACAGAGCAGUGAGAGGUAUUCCGGUCGAUUUGCUUUUUUCGCCGUGGCUGUCGCCCGGUCGCGGCUAUCCAUGACCCGAGUCAAUAAUAAAUCGGUUAGCGCUUGUGCCAAGACUCUCUCCGUGUCACCAUUUUAUUUUACUUUGUUUUCGACACGGAUUCGCUUUUUCAAUCCGGCCAACGAAUCUUCUUCUUUUUCUAAGAUUGAAAAUAAAACGAAGCCUACAUCUUCUUCGAAACACAUUUAUUAAUAGAGAAACGUCAAAUACAGAAAGAAAGAAAAGACCUAACGAAAUGUAUACACUGUAAAAAUAAGAUGGAACUUCGAAAUGCAGCUUCAAAUUCAAAUUUCUUUUCGCUGAAUUUCACCCAUGAUACUACAGCGAAUUGUUCCUUGGACGCGAUCUUCCAUCUCUAAAUAUUUAAUGAAACUUCCGUUCUUUCGAAGAAAAUCGAUUCCGAGAUGUUGCGAUCGAAAAUGUUGAACCAAAAAUACAAAAUAUCAACAUUUUGAAGAGAACAAACCCAACGAUGCGCAAUUUGCAGAUUCAACUUUAAUUUUAUUAAUUUAUUUUAAUUUUAAUAAUUUAGAGGAUCUAAUAAAAUUUUCAAUCCUCUAAAAGAAUCAAUUUAUUUGUUUUUCUUUCUUUUUUAGUAGUUUUAGUUUAGCGAUGCAUAAAUUGUAACUCGAUCGUCUAAAACUCGAAAGCUUCGGUAAGAUCUCUAUACCUUCAACAGAGCAGAAAAUCAACGACGCACAGUUUGCAAAUUUAACCCCAGGAAACAUAAUAAAAUUUCAAUCCUCUCGAAACAAUCGAUUUAACAACGCGCCAUUUCGAACUUUCUAACUUUAAAACUCUAAAGCUUCGACGAUAUCUGCGCGCUUUCGACAGAACGGAAAAUCAACAAUGCACAAUUUGCAAAUUUAACGCUAGGAGAUCGAACGAAAUUUUCAUUCUUUCGAAAGAAUCGCCCUAACAGUGUACAAUUCGCGAUUUUCAACUGCAAUCAUCAUACAGACUUCAUCACAGACGAAAUUUCAUUCAUCACAGAGAGUAGCGUUCGCUGGAAACUCUAAAGCUCCGAAAUCGUAGCCGGUUCCUGUCCGCUCGAGAGCCAACGAUAGAACUCAAAAUUGCUCUUCCCUUUCCUGGUUUAUCCAUUUGUUCUCUUGGUGGUUUCGCCGGCAAUAAAACCGGCCCGCGCCGCGUGUAAACGCGAAUCCUUUCGCUGCGUUCUUCGCUCGUGUUCCGGUAGAUAAUAUCGCAACUCCAAAGGGGUGGCGCGUAUCGACUGUAGAGGGUUGAACGCACCAGAGCAACUCGUUUAUUUGAAACCGUUUCCGUGGUUGGAGAUAGAAGUUUGAUACAACUACGAGGAAAGUAAGGAAUUUGUGUGAAAGAAGUCGAAAUGAAAGCUGCAGUGGAACUUUAUUUAUAUGGACGAUCCACUUUGUUAUCCGACCUGUUAAUUACAUAGAUUUAUACAUAUAUAUAUAUAUCUUAUAGUUCGAUAUGUAAAUACUGUACUUUUCAAAUGGCAAAGGAGAUGUUGAAAAAUAAGGAAAAAUGUUAGGUAUUCAUUUAUGAUUUAUUAUAUCAUACAUUAUUUGUUAAAUUCAUUGUACGAAUAUAUCGAUCUACAGUGACUGUUUUAUUUUAAAACACGUUAUGAAGUCGAUGCACGUACCGAUAUUAUUCUUCUUUGACGUUUCCCAACAAUCUAACGCGCGUAGGAAUUUUUUAAUUAAACCGACGAGAACAGAUUUCUUCCCAUUUUUGUAGUCGCGGAAAGUAAGAAUUGUAAAAAUAUUUCCGUAUUGAAUUUGUUAAAAUUCAUUGUGAUAUCGAACGUGUUAAUUACACAAAUUAUAUCUUCACCUUCUAACAGUUGAACGUGUAGUGAAAUUUCUUUUACCAAAAAUUAUUAUUUAUGAUUCGGUUUAACGAAAUAACAGUACGGUAAUUCAUAAUUAAAAAGUGGAUGUGAAAGAAAACGCGUUAGAUGGCAUCAGAGGGCAACGUGGAUCAUGCAAUUCGUCGCGAAUCUGACUGGCUGCCAAGAAUUUGAACUUCCUUCCCUUCGCCGAUCCGGCAACCUUCCAUUUCUAUUUUUUCGCCGAUGAAUAAAUCACACAAUGCAUCGUUAAGCCACCUAUUCCGCAAUCGAUAACUUCGCGCGUACGAUCGAUAAUAAAAUUUACAAUGGAUAUAUUAUAAAAGUAGUAGCCUUAGAAUGAGAAAAUUGGCUCUACAAAUCUGCGGAAAAUUAAUUAUAUGGAAUAAUUAUGGAAUUUCAUUGCAUGGAAUAUUAUGCGCUAUAUGUACCGAAAUAUACGAAAAAAUAUGAUUUGUAACAUUUUUCGAACUUACUUUUUUAGAAUCUAAUAAUAUUAAGCGAUUAAAGGAGAAAGGAUUAGAAGUGAAAUUGUACGUAUAACACAACGUUAGAUUUUAAACAUAUGCCAAUAAGUAUUAAAUAUCAUUUUGCUAUGAAUAAAUUCAUUGAAGUAUGUAACUCGUUUUUUGAGAAUUGGAUGUAUGAUUAUGAUAAGUAUUUUUUAGAAUUGAUAUAUUUAUGUAAUCAAAUUAAGAAAUUGGUGAUCGCGAUGCUUGUGGGAGGAUAAAAUAAAAAUUGAAAAAUUAUUGUAAAUUUGACACAUUCCUCGUCGAGUAAAACUUUUCCGUACAAAUAUUCCAAUACGAUAGACUCUCCAAGCUCGAACACAAUCGAUUCCAGCAUUAAGUUCUCGUCUCAUACUUGAAGUGUCGUAAAUUGAACUGAUCCGUUGAAACAUUCAAGAUUUGUUCAAUACAGAAAAUUUCGAAGAAUUAUAUUGGUAAAUGGUAAAAAAAGACAAGUAUAAUAAUCGAAUAUUUUUAUUAAUAAUGGUACAUAUGUAUAAAGAUAUUUUACAAUAUCAAAUAAUUUAUAAUUUUCCUACGAUCGGCUAGUCGAGGGUUGCGAUUUAUCGACAUCGCUACUUGUCAUUUCCUUGCAGAAAUACAUUUGUCUAUUUUUUCGUACUUUUCUAAGAUGUUCCAUUGCAUUAUCGGUAAACUGGUUGAUACCGCUGUUGACAAUUGCGAUGUUCUCAAUGACUUUUCUACAAGGCUGUGUGUUUUAGCGGACAGACAAGACGACCACGUGACGGCUGCAUGACGACGAGUGACUCUUUGUCUCCUUGCACCGAGAGUUUUCAUUGCAGUUUAGAAACAGAAUUUUCCUUGACACCUUUUUGUUCCAACAUCGAGUUUAGAAGCUGAAAUUUCCUUGACAUUUUCGUUUAUUCAAACUUCGAGUUUCCCUUCAAGUUUAAAAAAGCUACGUUUUCCUUGAUAUUUUUAUUUAAACUUCCAGUUUUCGCCCGAGUUUAAACGCUGAAUUUUCCUUGACAUUUUUGUUGGAACAUCGAACCGUUGGAAGUUCCAAC